GACAGAGGGGGCGAGCGUUGUCCGGAGUCACUGGGCGUAAAGCGCGCGCAGGCGGCAACCUCAGUGUCGUGUGAAAGCCCCCGGCUCAACCGGGGGAGGCCAUGGCAAACUGGGUCGCUCGAGCUGCGGAGAGGACCCUCGAAUUGCCGGUGUAGCGGUGAAAUGCGUAGAGAUCGGCAGGAAGACCAAGGGGGAAGCCAGGGGGCUGGCCGCCGGCUGACGCUGAGGCGCGACAGCGUGGGGAGCAAACCGG
rnacentral:rRNA from 1 species